CUCAAAAAUGGGGAUGGGGUUCCCCCGAAACCGCCCUUGUGGCUGAUGACUCCUGCCAGGCG
rnacentral:ncRNA from 2 species